AGCCUAAAUAUGAUCCCAUUCCACCUAAAUUCUGGAUUCCCAAGAUAUCCCUCAAUUCUUGACGACUAUCUUCAUUAAUCUUAUGUCCAAAUUGAAUUGAAGAUUUCUGGAAAUUAAUUUGUUGUCCAAAGACGGUCUCAUAUUCAUUUAGAAUUCUGAGUAUAGUUUGACACUCUUCCUUGUUUGCCUUACAAAAGAACAAACUAUCAUCUGCGAAUAACAGAUGAGAAAUCGCAGGGCAAGCUCUCGCCACUUUCA
rnacentral:lncRNA from 1 species